GAGAAGCGCGCGUAGAAGUCCACCUGGCCCGGAACGCCGCUCUCAGGCGCGGGCCCGGAGCCCGAGUCCGAGCCUCAGCCAAAAAGGGUUAAGGACUGGGUCGCGCUCCGCUUCCCACAACGGCGUGCUGCUGCGAGUCCGAGUGCGUUCCAGAAACUCUCCACGGUGAUGCAAGCCCCAUAUUUUACAGAUGAAGACGCCAAGACCCAGAGACCUUCAAGAUCUGACCCUUGCCAAGCAGUGGUACAAAAAUGCAAGUGAACACGGGGGAAUGUAUCCCUGAAUAUUAUCAGCGACUGCAGACCCAGAAGAUGAUUGGCAGACAGCCCAACUUGAAGCUUUUAUGUGCAGGCCUUCUAGGCAUGGUCAGCAACGUACUUAAAGGGUACCUCCCUCUUGACUUCACCGUCUUAGCCUCACAGUUUGGUAGUUCCAUCCUUUCCUCUUCUCCAAUUUCCUCGACUUAUGAUGGGGUACCUCUGGUUAUGGUUGGAGGGCAUUUGCCUGAUAAUUAAUAGUAUCAGUCCUGGAUAAAGGUGGCAAGAAUGAUGUGGUGUGUAUGGUGGCUCUGGUCUCCCACAGAUGUGAGACAUAUCUAGUCAUGGACCCACUAAUCUGUGACACCAGGCAAGCACUACUGGAAUGAGAUUUCUCCAGCUCUGACAAGCAAGGAAGCUACUCUCACACCACUGGACCUGCCGAUGGAGAUGCCAGUAGGCUGACAUGGUUAUCGAUGUAUUUUUCAUCUUUGAUCUCCCGCUCUUCCUUCCGGAUCCUCACAGCGUGGUAGCGGGGAACGCUAUCGUCGU